ACGGGUGAGUAAUGUCUGGGGAUCUGCCCGAUAGAGGGGGAUAACCACUGGAAACGGUGGCUAAUACCGCAUAACGUCGCAAGACCAAAGAGGGGGACCUUCGGGCCUCUCACUAUCGGAUGAACCCAGAUGGGAUUAGCUAGUAGGCGGGGUAACGGCCCACCUAGGCGACGAUCCCUAGCUGGUCUGAGAGGAUGACCAGCCACACUGGAACUGAGACACGGUCCAGACUCCUACGGGAGGCAGCAGUGGGGAAUAUUGCACAAUGGGCGCAAGCCUGAUGCAGCCAUGCCGCGUGUAUGAAGAAGGCCUUCGGGUUGUAAAGUACUUUCAGCGGGGAGGAAGGCAACAAGGUUAAUAACCUUGUUGAUUGACGUUACCCGCAGAAGAAGCACCGGCUAACUCCGUGCCAGCAGCCGCGGUAAUACGGAGGGUGCGAGCGUUAAUCGGAAUUACUGGGCGUAAAGCGCACGCAGGCGGUCUGUUAAGUCAGAUGUGAAAUCCCCGGGCUUAACCUGGGAACUGCAUUUGAAACUGGCAGGCUUGAGUCUCGUAGAGGGGGGUAGAAUUCCAGGUGUA
rnacentral:rRNA from 1 species